rnacentral:rRNA from 1 species
AGAGUUUGAUCCUGGCUCAGGAUGAACGCUAGCGGCAGGCCUAACACAUGCAAGUCGAGGGAGGAGCUUUCGGGCUUCGACCGGCGUACGGGUGCGUAACGCGUAUACAAUCUGCCUUUCACAUAGGGAUAGCCCGAAGAAAUUUGGAUUAAUACCUAAUGGUAUAUAGGAGUGGCAUCACCUUUAUAUUAAAGCUGAGGCGGUGAAAGAUGAGUAUGCGUUCUAUUAGCUAGUUGGAGAGGUAACGGCUCCCCAAGGCGACGAUAGAUAGGGGUUCUGAGAGGGAUAUCCCCCACACUGGUACUGAGAUACGGACCAGACUCCUACGGGAGGCAGCAGUGAGGAAUAUUGGACAAUGGUCGGAAGACUGAUCCAGCCAUGCCGCGUGCAGGAAGACGGCCUUAUGGGUUGUAAACUGCUUUUGCAGGGGAAGAAUAAGGACUACGCGUAGUUUGAUGACGGUACUCUGCGAAUAAGCAUCGGCUAACUCCGUGCCAGCAGCCGCGGUAAUACGGAGGAUGCGAGCGUUAUCCGGAAUCAUUGGGUUUAAAGGGUCCGUAGGCGGGCUAAUAAGUCAGAGGUGAAAGCGCUCAGCUCAACUGAGCAACUGCCUUUGAAACUGUUAGUCUUGAAUGGUUGUGAAGUAGUUGGAAUGUGUAGUGUAGCGGUGAAAUGCUUAGAUAUUACACAGAACACCGAUAGCGAAGGCAUAUUACUAACAAUUAAUUGACGCUGAUGGACGAAAGCGUGGGGAGCGAACAGGAUUAGAUACCCUGGUAGUCCACGCUGUAAACGAUGGAUACUAGCUGUUUGGUUGUAAGACUGAGUGGCUAAGCGAAAGUGAUAAGUAUCCCACCUGGGGAGUACGCACGCAAGUGUGAAACUCAAAGGAAUUGACGGGGGCCCGCACAAGCGGUGGAGCAUGUGGUUUA